rnacentral:rRNA from 2 species
GWCGAACGAACUCUGGUAUUGAUUGGUGCUUGCAUCAUGAUUUACAUUUGAGUGAGUGGCGAACUGGUGAGUAACACGUGGGAAACCUGCCCAGAAGMGGGGGAUAACACCUGGAAACAGAUGCUAAUACCGCAUAACAACUUGGACCGCAUGGUCCGAGUUUGAAAGAUGGCUUCGGCUAUCACUUYUGGAUGGUCCCGCGGCGUAUUAGCUAGAUGGUGRGGUAACGGCUCACCAUGGCAAUGAUACGUAGCCGACCUGAGAGGGUAAUCGGCCACAUUGGGACUGAGACACGGCCCAAACUCCUACGGGAGGCAGCAGUAGGGAAUCUUCCACAAUGGACGAAAGUCUGAUGGAGCAACSCCGCGUGAGUGAAGAAGGGUUUCGGCUCGUAAAACUCUGUUGUUAAAGAAGAACAUAUCUGAGAGUAACUGUUCAGGUAUUGACGGUAUUUAACCAGAAAGCCACGGCUAACUACGUGCCAGCMGCCGCGGUAAUWCGGUCAUAGC